UCAUUAACCUUUGUUUCGCCCCAUAUAUAUACACGAUAUCCUUUGCUUGAAUUAGCGAAUAUGAAAUGGUUAAGUCAAGCCAUCCAAGCAAGAAACUGAAAUAGUCAAUUUGAUACGCUUAAAUGAAGAUGAUUAAUAAAACAGGUUUGAGUCUUUCUAUAUAAUAGAUUGUUAGAAUGUGUUGUUGCGCCUCUUUUGUUUAGUACUUUAGUAGCUUCAACUAAUACCGUGUCAUAACUCAUAAUUAUGCAUAUGUAAGAUCUUUUGUCUUUUAUCAUCUCGUCGAUAUAAGAUAAUAAGAGCGAUUAAAUCAACCCUAUAUAAUAAUAACAAUAUAAGUUUUCUAUUUCGUUUCGUUUAAUGAAAAUAUGAAUAAAAUUGGGAUAAGUUUGUAUCGCCUUUUUUUCUUUUUCACAAUAAGUUUGUAUCCCCUAAUUUAAUCA